rnacentral:lncRNA from 13 species
AUUUGAUUGUAUACCUACAAUGUACUAGAAGCAGUGAUCACCACUAUGAACAAUAGCGAACUAUAGAGUUUUAUUUUCCUUGUAAACCUUGCUAUCUUAUGUCCAUCUCUGUUUCUUACUUUCACAUGGAAAAAACUGAAUUCUGCUGAAAAAAUUCGAUGGCAAGAAAGUAACACAGAAUAUGGUCAUUUUGUUCAACAUGUCCUAUGUAUAUUUUCUCAAUUUAAGCCUGGAGCUCAUAUUCCUCUUAGGCCAAAAAUGAGCCAUCUGCCUAAUCAAAAAAGCAUCCAGAACAAUGGGCGAGAAGAAAUAAAAACUUGUUGUCUAAAUCAAAGGAUUGGUAUUCUCCAAAUCGUUGCUACCACAUUGAGCCAUUUUCUCUGAUGUUGUCUCUACAAAGCAAAGUGAAAUGGACAGUUUUCCAGCUAAUUUGUUUUGUAUGGACCGCCAAGCUGGACACUUGCAGACCACAAAGUCUGUGAAUGAGAACCUGGGAGCUGGCAUGAGAAGAACUGAGCUGGAGCAUUUCGCCAUCACUGAAUAAAUAACUUACCCUCUUGAAUUCUUCCCUGUAC